rnacentral:rRNA from 1 species
GACGAACGCUGGCGGCGCGCCUAACACAUGCAAGUCGAACGAGCGAGAGAGAGCUUGCUUUCUCGAGCGAGUGGCGAACGGGUGAGUAACGCGUGAGGAACCUGCCUCAAAGAGGGGGACAACAGUUGGAAACGACUGCUAAUACCGCAUAAGCCCACGACCCGGCAUCGGGUAGAGGGAAAAGGAGCAAUCCGCUUUGAGAUGGCCUCGCGUCCGAUUAGCUAGUUGGUGAGGUAACGGCCCACCAAGGCGACGAUCGGUAGCCGGACUGAGAGGUUGAACGGCCACAGUGGGACUGAGACACGGCCCAGACUCCUACGGGAGGCAGCAGUGGGGAAUAUUGCACAAUGGGGGAAACGCUGAUGCAGCGACGCCGCGUGGAGGAAGAAGGUCUUCGGAUUGUAAACUCCUGUUGUGGAGGAAGAUAAUGACGGUACUCAACAAGGAAGUGACGGCUAACUACGUG